AGGGACAGUAGUCAUCUGCUUAAGAAACAGGGGUUUUCCCAAGAAAAACCUGUUCAGAACCCUCUGUUCCAGCACUGAGGUUGAAGAACAUUUCACAGAGGAAAGUAUUUGAUGCGUUAUUCACUUUCUGAAAGUAAACAUGGGACUGACAAAGGAUGAAAGCAACCGUGAAAAACCAGUUCUCUUAGUACACAGUAACCUUUAUUUGUCUUCAUAUGGAUGAGACAGAAGAUCCAUGUGGGAGGUCACAGCACAGGGGUGUAGCAUUGAGGGAAGACAAGGGGAGAGGACAUGCAGGGAGGAAACAGGCAGAUAUAGAAGACAAAAGCAGGGAUGUUCUUGAUGACAACAGGGCUUCUGUGGCUGUUACUUCUGCUGGCUGGAGGGCCAGUGGCAGGACUGCUUGGCUUGAUGGGGUUGGAUGUGGGGGAUGACAAUAGGGCAUUUCUGCUGGGAGGACUGGUAGGACCCUCCGCUGCCCCCUCCAGAGCUGAUGACGAUUGUCUGGCCUGAGGAACCACCACUGGAUCCUCCGCUGCAGCAUCCAGAGGAACCGCCACCACUUCCACCUCCAAUGAUGAUUGUGCCUCCUGAAGACCCACCACUGGAUCCUCCACUGCAGCAUCCAGAGGAACCUCCACUACCUCCUCCUCCAAUGAUGCUCUUUGAUCCUGAAUACCCACCACUGGACCCUCCAGAGGAUCCCCCACUACCACCACCUACAAUGAUGAUACCGCCUCCUGAAGAGCCACCACUGGAUCCCCCACUGCAGCAUCCAGAGGAACUGCCACCACUUCCACCUCCAAUGAUGAUCUUGCCUCCUGAAGACCCACCACUGGAUCCCCCACUGCAGCAGCCUCCAGAGGAGCCUCCUCCACCACCACCUGAGCUAAUAAUGAUCUUCUGGCCAGAUCCCCCACUGGAUCCACUGCUGUAGCCUCCUCCCAUGCUGUAGCCUGAGGAGCCCCCACUGCAGCAGGAUCCACCUCCUCCGCCUCCUCCACCUCCAGAGCUGAUGAUGAUCUUGCCGGAGCCCCCACUGCUUCCUGAGCUGGAGCCCCCACAGCAGGAGGAGCCCCCACUGUGGCAGCCGCUGGACUGGGAGGACAUCCCAUGGCAGCCUCCGGAGCUCUGUCUGGAGCACAUCUUUGAGCAAGGACCCUGCAAGGAACAACAGGUUUUUACUCAAGAGCAGCCACUGUCAUCAGGAGAAUAUUCCCCAGCCAGAAGGACCCGUUCACAUCCCAACAACAGCCUCCAGAACCAAUGAACUUCCAUUCGUGUAAGCAAGUGGUGCUCCAUAGAUCCCAGACUCACAUAAAGCAUUUUGCCAACAGAUUACCAUGUUGCUAGUUACUGAACCCAUUAUUUAUCCAAUGGCUGUUCCAUCUCCAUCUCUAUACUAACAAAACACAUCAUUGAGUAGCAUGGAUGAUCCCAAACCUUCUUGUCCUUCAAGCCACCACCCAUCAGAUGCACUUUACCGAAGAGUUUAUGUUUUGCAAGCAUGAAAGCGAGCGAAGAAUUGUUCUCUUUGGCAGAAAUAGACUUACCCUUCUUGGUCUGGCAAUGUACACAGGGCAAAGCUGAGCGAAUGAAGCACUGGGAGAUCCAUCAACUUUUAUACCCUUUCUAGUUUUCCCAAGUGGGAAGUGAGGCAUGUAAAGGAAUGGUGAUAGCUUUAUUUACUAAACAAAGUGUCCUCCUUCAGCCCACUUGUCCUGACUCAUGCGAUCAGAUCAAUGCUUCUCUAGUG
rnacentral:lncRNA from 14 species